GUCCACGCCGUAAACGUUGGGCACUAGGUGUGGGGCUCUAUCGACGGGUUCCGUGCCGAAGCUAACGCAUUAAGUGCCCCGCCUGGGGAGUACGGCCGCAAGGCUAAAACUCAAAGGAAUUGACGGGGCCCGCACAAGCGGCGGAGCAUGUGGCUUAAUUCGAUGCAACGCGAAGAACCUUACCAAGGCUUGACAUUCUGGGUAAUCCGUGGAAACACGGUGAUCCUUCGGGAUCCAGAACAGGUGGUGCAUGGCUGUCGU
rnacentral:rRNA from 1 species